UCCAGCAGAGAUGGCAGAGCU
rnacentral:siRNA from 1 species